rnacentral:rRNA from 1 species
AGUUUGAUCCUGGCUCAGAGCGAACGCUGGCGGCAGGCUUAACACAUGCAAGUCGAACGGGCAUCUUCGGAUGUCAGUGGCAGACGGGUGAGUAACACGUGGGAACGUACCCUUCGGUUCGGAAUAACUCAGGGAAACUUGAGCUAAUACCGGAUACGCCCUUUUGGGGAAAGGUUUACUGCCGAAGGAUCGGCCCGCGUCUGAUUAGCUUGUUGGUGGGGUAACGGCCUACCAAGGCGACGAUCAGUAGCUGGUCUGAGAGGAUGAUCAGCCACACUGGGACUGAGACACGGCCCAGACUCCUACGGGAGGCAGCAGUGGGGAAUAUUGGACAAUGGGCGCAAGCCUGAUCCAGCCAUGCCGCGUGAGUAAUGAAGGCCUUAGGGUUGUAAAGCUCUUUUACCCGGGAUGAUAAUGACAGUACCGGGAGAAUAAGCCCCGGCUAACUCCGUGCCAGCAGCCGCGGUAA